GGUUAGUUGGAUUGCUUUUCUCUUUAUAAAAUUACACGGGAUAAAUACUUUUUGUUGAUAAUUUUACUCAAAAUAUGAUUGGUGGUGAACACAUUUAGAAAUUACUAACUGCGAGUUUUUUUGUCAGGUUUACAGUGUUAAGUUCGUGAGGUGUACAGAUGCAACGUGACGUAAGCCUGAGUGAAAGUUUCUAAUGCGUCCUCUUUUUUCUUGAAAUAAGAUCCUCUCUCCUUCAUUCCCGCCGAGGCCUGGUUUUACUGCGAGUCUGAAGCAGACACAUUUGGGCGGUUUUCUACUCAUUUGAUGAAUUCUCUCCUCUGAAGCCAACUUCCUGGCUUUUCCCAAGACCUUCAAGGACACAAUUGACCUUGGGAUCAGCUGUAAAAGAGGAUGAAACCGAUGUUUAAGAAUGGGACAGCGAUAUUGCAUCAAUUUGUCUCCUACUUCAUUUGAUUCCACCAUCGCCACAAGGCUGCAAGGGACCUGGAGAAAUGUCCUCCUAUCAAGCUGAAAAACAUCUUCAAAAAGGCACUAAUAAGAAGAAUACCUUGUAGAGACCACACAGCCAUACCUGCUCGCUGAUGGGACAACGAGCAUUCAUGGAUGCUACACAACUGUCGACAAGUAUCUUGCUGCAGUCUUGUUCAAAUCUACCUGUCAUACUUGUAAAUUUGAUUUUAUGUGUUUUAUUAACUAUUUUAUGUUUCCGUGCAACACUUAAUGAAUGUGACUGACUAAUUAACCUCUACACAUCUGGUAUAUGCUUUAAAGUUGCCACUUUGCCCAUUUG